rnacentral:rRNA from 1 species
AUUGAACGCUGGCGGCAGGCCUAACACAUGCAAGUCGAGCGGAUGAAGGGAGCUUGCUCCUGGAUUCAGCGGCGGACGGGUGAGUAAUGCCUAGGAAUCUGCCUGGUAGUGGGGGAUAACGUCCGGAAACGGGCGCUAAUACCGCAUACGUCCUGAGGGAGAAAGUGGGGGAUCUUCGGACCUCACGCUAUCAGAUGAGCCUAGGUCGGAUUAGCUAGUUGGUGGGGUAAAGGCCUACCAAGGCGACGAUCCGUAACUGGUCUGAGAGGAUGAUCAGUCACACUGGAACUGAGACACGGUCCAGACUCCUACGGGAGGCAGCAGUGGGGAAUAUUGGACAAUGGGCGAAAGCCUGAUCCAGCCUUGCCGCGUGUGUGAAGAAGGUCUUCGGAUUGUAAAGCACUUUAAGUUGGGAGGAAGGGCAGUAAGUUAAUACCUUGCUGUCUUGACGUUACCAACAGAAUAAGCACCGGCUAACUUCGUG